AGUGAACGCUGGCGGUAGGCCUAACACAUGCAAGUCGAACGGCCGCACAGUAAGAGCUUGCUCUUACGGGUGGCGAGUGGCGGACGGGUGAGGCAUACAUCGGAAUCUACUUUUUCGUGGGGGAUAACGUAGGGAAACUUACGCUAAUACCGCAUACGACCUACGGGUGAAAGCAGGGGAUCUUCGCACCUUGCGCGAUUGAAUGAGCCGAUGUCGGAUUAGCUAGUUGGCUGGGUAAAGGCCCACCAAGGCGACGAUCCGUAGCUGGUCUGAGAGGAUGAUCAGCCACACUGGAACUGAGACACGGUCCAGACUCCUACGGGAGGCAGCAGUGGGGAAUAUUGGACAAUGGGCGCAAGCCUGAUCCAGCAAUACCGCGUGGGUGAAGAAGGCCUUCGGGUUGUAAAGCCCUGUUGUUGGGAAAGAAAAGCAGCAGGUUAAUACCCCGCUGUUCUGACGGUACCCAAAGAAUAAGCACCGGCUAACUUCGUG
rnacentral:rRNA from 1 species